CGCGUACAUGGCGUGCACAUAGCCUGGGGCAUUCUCGCCCAACGUCUGGUACCACAGCAGGAAGUAUCUGAAAGUGAAUACACUUGGGCGAGUUGCCCAGAUGCAAAAGCUUGGCCAUGAUGCGACUCAGGGAGUGACAUUGCCACCGACGGGCCAACAACUCCGGCAGAAGGCACAGGAUCUUCUCCAGCAGCCAUAGUGAGCCGUCUAGUUCCUCGCGAUGCGCCUUGUGAACUGUUUUAAUAAAGUUAAAUAAAAUUUGUAUCAGUGAAGG